UGCCGCCGCCGUGGCUCGUCCGAAAGCAUCUGCGGAAGGAGGCCUCCGGGAGGAGCUUCUGCAGGAGGAGGAGAGGCUGGCGGACGUGCCCCUGGACUGCAUCGACCCGGCACUGCUCCGCCCAGCCCUCGUCGUCGACCUCCGUCGCCCCGGGGAUAAUUAAUUUAUGUCAUGGUGAUACCCAAAGAGGCAAUUGAUAAUUGAUGCGAACAAUUCCGGGAAAGAAGAAGUGGUUCGGACGAUGAUUUUAUUUAUAUUGUUCGAAGUCUUAUUUUUUGGAGUUGGAGAAGUCCAGGGACAAAUAAGCCAACCAAGGCAAGCCAUCUUUUGAUCUCUUGCUAUUUAUCCUUCUUGGUGUGCUCAUUGCUCCAUUAUAUACUUGGUUCAUUGUAUCAUGUGUGAUUUUUGGUCCUCUACUCUAUGCAUACUUAUUCCCAAAGUAUGAUGAACCCCUUUUUGAUGCUUUGCAUACUUGCUCCCAAGUAUGUGAACCCCCUUGUUGAUGUUAUGCAUGCUUACCCUAAGCAUGUAUGCCCCCUUGACCAUAUCCAUGUUGUCAUCUUCUUAGUGGUAUGAUGAUUAACAUCAUGACCCCUGUUUGAAUCAUCUUAAUUAUGUUGUCCCUAUACAUGCUUAUCCUAAGUAUGUAUGAUCCUUUUAACACCUCAAUUAUCAUCCCCUUAGUGGUAUGAUGGCUAGCAUCAUGUCAUUGUGACUCUUAGUUCCUUCAUAAAACUAUAGGUUGGGAACCCCCUUGGAAAAAUACCUUGAUGAAAAGAAUUUUUGAAAACCUUGGGUGAGUUGGACUUACCCAAGCGUGUGUUUAUGAAAGGAAAGGAUCUUGGCAAAGAUGGUUGAAAAGAAAAUCUUGUUUUUGAAAACUUUGGCGCCUAAGUAUUCACCCAUGACAAUUAACCCGCGCAACCACAUUACCCUGGGGUGGGACGGGGCUUAGCUCGUAGUUUGUUCUUCUUAACAUGGGACACCGCACAACUAUAUAAGGGUAAGGUUACCCCUGAAUCCGGAUUGUCGUUGGUGGGGACAAUAGUAUAACGGGAGGCCUUCGGGGCUGACCCGUCCGGAAGACACUAUGGGUCUCCUGGCUUGGCGGUGGAGCCACGCUCAAAGUGAGGUGAGCUGCCAUGGUGCCGGGGAGGUACAUACUCCAUAGGGUAGGAUCCCGUGCUAAGACGAAUAGGCGAAGGGCUAUGUCCGAGUUUUUGUCAUGGCAUAGUUGAUAUGCAGGGAUGAUGCCCACAUGAUAAACUCGUGGAUCUUGUGGGGAAAGUGUGCAAACUCUGCAGAGUCAAAUCUAUUCGAAUAGCCGUGUCCGCGGUCAUGGACGGUUGAAAUGGUUGUUGCUUAGCCUGAUGAGUUUUGUUUGAGAAAGUGUUUACCAAAGGAAAAAGGAACUUGUUUUCGGAGUACCGGAAGGGUACUAGAAUGGUUUGGUUGACCAUAUGGAGAUGGUCGGAAAGGAAAUAAACUGGGUUACUCCCUUCCUAGUGUUUUAUCUUGUAGAACUCUUUUGAAGUAUCUUCUUCAACAAAGAUAUAGAGAUGUCAUAGGAUCUUCUUAGUGUCCCCUUCAACUGUGAUGUUGGGAUGCUACAUCCACAAGAGAAACUAAUUCUCUUCUACAUGCUAUUUCCACAAGAGAAAUUAGCUCUUCCCUCUUGUCAUCUAGAUUAGCACUUGUUAUCUUGCACUCUUCCAAAGUACCUUCUUGAUGGUUUGCGAGUACAAUUCCAAAUGUACUCACGGCUUUGUCCCUGGCUAUUUACUUGGUCAGACUUGGAGGAAUUCGACAAAUGAAGAAGGAUUGGACGACGUCUAUGCGAGCUAGGAACGUUCUCCCAGUCAGUUGCCUGUAGGGUUAAGGCAGAUGACUCGGGCUCUACGCUGCUGAUGUGAUUCCGCUACUCUGAUGAUUAAGUUAGGCCCUUCGAGGCUAUUAUGUAAAGAUUGGUCAUGUGACCUUGUUGUAAUUUUCUUAUUCCGUUUUGUAAUGGGUGAUGUAACUAUGAUAUCAGUUCGGUUAUGUGUUCGCGACGCACUGAUCAUGGGAUCGUGAACUGUAUACAUAACGGGAAUUUCGGACAGCUAGUCCGGGGUCCCCACAGAGAUAAUUGCUCGACUUAAGUCUGCACCCGGCUGCAAACACCCGCGCCCAGACUCGGGGGCUACUCCCAUCGGGAGUGCGUGAUACGCACCCAACAGAAUGAGCAGUUGAAGGAA